ACAGUACUUCUUCCGUUCCAAAUUACUUGUCUUAGAUUUGUCUAGAUACAAAUAUAUCUAGACUCAUUUUAAUGUUAGAUACCUUCGUAUCUAAACAAAUCUAAGACAAGUAAUUCGGAACGGAGGAAGUAUGGC
rfam:Triticum urartu cultivar G1812 contig33314, whole genome shotgun sequence.